AAAUUGAAGAGUUUGAUCAUGGCUCAGAUUGAACGCUGGCGGCAGGCCUAACACAUGCAAGUCGAACGGUAACAGGAAGCAGCUUGCUGCUUUGCUGACGAGUGGCGGACGGGUGAGUAAUGUCUGGGAAACUGCCUGAUGGAGGGGGAUAACUACUGGAAACGGUGGCUAAUACCGCAUAACGUCGCAAGACCAAAGAGGGGGACCUUCGGGCCUCUUGCCAUCAGAUGUGCCCAGAUGGGAUUAGCUUGUUGGUGAGGUAACGGCUCACCAAGGCAACGAUCCCUAGCUGGUCUGAGAGGAUGACCAGCCACACUGGAACUGAGACACGGUCCAGACUCCUACGGGAGGCAGCAGUGGGGAAUAUUGCACAAUGGGCGCAAGCCUGAUGCAGCCAUGCCGCGUGUAUGAAGAAGGCCUUCGGGUUGUAAAGUACUUUCAGCGGGGAGGAAGGUGUUGUGGUUAAUAACC
rnacentral:rRNA from 1 species